rnacentral:tRNA from 1 species
GGAGAGAUAGCUCAAUCUUAGAGGACAGGACUUGUGUGCCUGAGGUCCCAGGUUCAAUUCCUGGCACACUG